UGGUAAAAUAUUUCAAAAAAUUAAGUUUGAAGAUAAUUCGUCAUUUUUUGGUCACGUGGUAUAUUUCCAAAAGUCACGUGACUGUUGGAGAAAAAGUGAAAAAAAUACGAAAUCCUUGGGCAAAAAGUCGUGCAGAGACAUAUUGGUGGGCUAAUAGGGUCAGGUUUUGAUGGAAACACAAUGCCUCGAGUCUGUUGAAGCCAUAUAAGUUAUCAUAGUGGUAUAAAUAGACGCAUAACGUGCUAUAGGCCUUGAAAUAUCGAUGUCCGUAACAUUCAAAAUAAUUGAUUUUAGACGCUCUUUUUGUCCGAUUUCAAACUUGGACCCUAGUUAUUUGUCUAAUUCGUUUUCAAUCAAUCAGCAACCUAAACUUUGUUUUUACAAGGAAAAUUCAUUGAAUUACCAAUGCUAGCUCGAUCUGGGACACCCUUGACCGAGCCCGAUGGAGCAAAGGGGGUAAAAAAAGGGGGGGGGGGGGGGGUGGGGGGGGGGGGGGCAAUUUUGCACACACAUUCUUUUAAAAAAAAAUUCGUAGGUUUCCUUUUUGAAAUUGAAAGUAAAGUUAAGUUAAGUUACAUUUAAUAUAGGAAAUUAUUUUUCCAACUCCGGCAGUGAGAUUCGAACUCUCAAUCUUAGCGCCUUGGAUAGAUCAGCGUACCCCUGCGCCACUGGCAUUGUAGUGAAUUUAUCGAAAUUUAAGUACUUAAGUCUACUACUACGAAAGAAAUGAAAAAAAAAAAAUAAUACAAAGAUUCUCACCCAGUUUGUUUUCUUUUUGGAAUUAUGUGUUCAGAUGAUAAUUUUUUGUUGUCAAAUGCAUGAUUUUUACGCAAAUCUAGGAGGAAUCCACUCUUUAAACUGUCAUUUUUUCAUUGAAAUAUACAUGUUUCUUUAUUCAAACAAAAGUGUUUUCA
rnacentral:lncRNA from 1 species